rnacentral:lncRNA from 1 species
AGAGGAGGUGGUGUCUGGUUUGCAUAGGGCCCAGGGGAUUGGUUUGACCAGGUGUGUCAUUUACGUAGCCUGUGGAAAACUCAACCCUCCCACCUUAGCCCUUUAAUAUGCAAAUGCAGGUCGCCAUAAUAUUCUGAACACAUGGUAAGAACCUUUAUCCUUACUACCUGCCUAAAAUAAUUUCUUAAUAACUCCUGUAUCAGUUUGGCUUACAGUGGUCGUCAUUGCCCAGGUCCCUGAAUGUAUUACUGUGCCACUCCCACAUAGGGCAUUUGACUUGUAAGUUAAAGGUAUAUUUUUGUGAAGACUGAGUGCAAGCCACUGAAAUAGUCCCUCACCCCACCUUCUUGGAAAAUUCAUACCUAUUUCCAGUUAUUACCAACCUUAAGGACUUUAAGAGCUAAAGGAUGCUAGAAUGGUGGUCCCCAUCAUGUCUUAAAUUAAGUCAGCAGUCUGUCCCCUAAAAUAUAAAAAAACAACAACAACAAAUGAAUCCUGAAAAAUGACUGCAGAGUAUGACAGAUUCAACUGAAUAGCAGCUUAAUUGCAGCUGUUUUCCCAGAUGCGGCAUUGUUCUAGCGUAAAUUCAUCUGUCUUCAGGUACUGGCACACUGAUUUGACAAAUAUGUUAUUUUCUAGUCAGAUCAAACAGAUAAGAAAUGGUUUGUAUUCACAUGGAAUGGGAAAAAUUAGAUAUGUCUACUUUUCCCUCAGGGUUCUGUUAACUUACACU